UACAGAGGCCACAAGUGUUAAUCGGAAUUACUGGGCGUAAAGCGUGCGCAGGCGGUGAUGUAAGACAGUUGUGAAAUCCCCGGGCUCAACCUGGGAACUGCAUCUGUGACUGCAUCGCUGGAGUGCGGCAGAGGGGGAUGGAACUCCGCGUGUAGCAGUGAAAUGCGUAGAUAUGCGGAGGAACACCGAUGGCGAAGGCAAUCCCCUGGGCCUGCACUGACGCUCAUGCACGAAAGCGUGGGGAGCAAACAGG
rnacentral:rRNA from 1 species